AUGGCUAUGGUCGAUGAGCCUCUCUAUCCAAUUGCCGUGCUGAUAGAUGAGCUUAAAAAUGAAGAUAUUCAAUUGCGCCUGAACUCCAUCAGAAGACUUUCCACUAUUGCACGGGCACUUGGAGAAGAAAGAACCAGGAAGGAACUGAUUCCUUUCCUCAGCGAAAACAAUGAUGAUGAAGAUGAGGUGCUUCUUGCAAUGGCUGAAGAAUUGGGUGUGUUCAUUCCUUAUGUUGGGGGUGUAGAGCAUGCUCAUGUUUUGCUCCCACCAUUGGAGACAUUGUCUACGGUGGAGGAAACCUGUGUCCGAGACAAAGCAGUUGAGUCGUUGUGCCGUAUUGGUGCACAGAUGAAAGAAAAUGACAUUGUUGACUAUUUCAUUGCAGUAGUAAAGAGGCUAGCGGCUGGUGAGUGGUUUACAGCUCGAGUAUCAUCCUGUGGUCUUUUCCAUAUAGCCUAUCCAAGUGCCACCGAUCCGUUGAAAACAGAACUGAGGACUAUUUAUGGCCAGUUAUGCCAAGAUGACAUGCCUAUGGUCAGAAGGGCAGCUGCAUCAAAUCUUGGGAAGUUUGCUGCCACUGUUGAACAGAGCCAUUUGAAGACAGAAAUCAUGUCGAUCUUUGAUGAUCUUACCCAAGAUGAUCAAGAUUCAGUACGUUUAUUGGCAGUUGAAGGCUGUGCUGCUCUUGGAAAAUUGUUAGAACCCCAAGAUUGUGUAGCCCAUAUCCUUCCAGUCAUUGUUAAUUUCUCCCAGGAUAAAUCUUGGCGUGUCCGUUAUAUGGUUGCAAACCAGUUGUAUGAGCUCUGCGAGGCAGUUGGCCCUGAGCCUACAAGAGCGGACCUGGUGCCUGCAUAUGUUCGCCUCCUCCGUGAUAAUGAGGCUGAAGUGCGGAUAGCAGCUGCCGGAAAAGUUACUAAGUUCUGUAGGAUAUUAAGUCCACAGCUUGCAAUUCAGCACAUUCUGCCAUGCGUCAAGGAAUUGUCAUCAGAUUCGUCUCAGCAUGUUCGCUCAGCUUUGGCUUCAGUCAUCAUGGGAAUGGCCCCUGUCUUGGGGAAGGAUGCUACCAUUGAACAACUUCUUCCUAUUUUUCUUUCUUUGCUGAAGGAUGAAUUUCCUGAUGUUCGACUCAACAUAAUCAGCAAGCUUGAUCAAGUUAAUCAGGUCAUUGGAAUUGACUUGCUGUCGCAAUCUCUAUUGCCGGCUAUUGUAGAACUUGCGGAGGAUAGGCACUGGAGGGUUCGUCUUGCAAUCAUUGAGUACAUCCCUCUGCUGGCUAGUCAGUUAGGUGUUGGGUUUUUUGAUGACAAGCUGGGGGCACUUUGCAUGCAAUGGUUGGAAGAUAAGGUUUUCUCGAUCAGAGAAGCUGCCGCAAACAACUUGAAGCGCCUGGCGGAGGAGUUUGGUCCAGAGUGGGCAAUGCAACAUAUAAUUCCUCAGGUGUUGGAGAAGAUAAACAACCCACAUUAUCUGUAUCGCAUGACCAUCCUGCAAGCUAUCUCAUUGCUAGCCCCUGUUAUGGGUGCAGAAAUAACAUGCCAAAAGCUGCUCCCUGUCGUCAUUAAUUCCUCGAAGGACAGAGUGCCGAACAUCAAGUUCAAUGUUGCGAAAGUUCUGCAGUCGCUUGUACCAAUCCUUGAUCAAUCUGUCGCUGAGAAGACUGUGAAGCCUUGCCUCGUUGAGCUGAGCGAGGACCCUGAUGUGGAUGUACGAUACUAUGCAAACCAGGCCCUUCAGGCAUGUGACCAGAUCAUGAUGUCUAGCUAA
rnacentral:rRNA from 1 species